GACGAACGCUGGCGGCGUGCUUAACACACGCAAGUCGAACGAUGAAGCUGGAGCUUGCUCCGGUGGAUUAGUGGCGAACGGGUGAGUAACACGUGAGCAAUCUGCCCUUGACUCUGGGAUAACUGCGGGAAACUGUAGCUAAUACCGGAUACUUUCACUGGAAGGCAUCUUCUGGUGAAGAAAGAAUUUCGGUCAAGGAUGAGCUCGCGGCCUAUCAGCUUGUUGAUGAGGUAACGGCUCACCAAGGCGACGACGGGUAGCCGGCCUGAGAGGGUAACCGGCCACACUGGGACUGAGACACGGCCCAGACUCCUACGGGAGGCAGCAGUGGGGAAUAUUGCACAAUGGGCGCAAGCCUGAUGCAGCAACGCCGCGUGAGGGAUGAAGGCCUUCGGGUUGUAAACCUCUUUUAGCAGGGAAGAAGCGAAAGUGACGGUACCUGCAGAAAAAGCACCGGCUAACUACGUGCCAGCAGCCGCAGUAA
rnacentral:rRNA from 1 species